rnacentral:rRNA from 1 species
GAUGAACGCUGGCGGCGUGCCUAAUACAUGCAAGUCGAGCGAACGGACGAGAAGCUUGCUUCUCUGAUGUUAGCGUCGGACGGGUGAGUAACACGUGGAUAACCUACCUAUAAGACUGGGGUAACUUCGGGAAACCGGAGCUAAUACCGGAUAAUAUUUUGAACCGCAUGGUUCAAAAGUGAAAGACGGUCUUGCUGUCACUUAUAGAUGGAUCCGCGCUGCAUUAGCUAGUUGGUAAGGUAACGGCUUACCAAGGCAACGAUGCAUAGCCGACCUGAGAGGGUGAUCGGCCACACUGGAACUGAGACACGGUCCAGACUCCUACGGGAGGCAGCAGUAGGGAAUCUUCCGCAAUGGGCGAAAGCCUGACGGAGCAACGCCGCGUGAGUGAUGAAGGUCUUCGGAUCGUAAAACUCUGUUAUUAGGGAAGAACAUAUGUGUAAGUAACUGUGCACAUCUUGACGGUACCUAAUCAGAAAGCCACGGCUAACUACGUG